rnacentral:lncRNA from 1 species
AGCCCCUUUUGGCGGGAAAGAAACAAGAAGUGUCGUUUGUUGUAUUUAUUAGCAAACAAAUAUAAGAGUAUUGAAUUUGCAUAUGCCUGAGAAGAACUUCUGCAGCCUUUUUGGAUUAUUGGAAACGGAAUAAAACUUAACAAAUUUUUCCGCAGCUCAGCCGGGACUGUGUAUUCGCAACCUGAGGCUACUGACGUUCGAAGAAAUUCCAAAAUAUAAACAAAUUCAUGGGCUGAUCUGCCCGAUCUAAUCAUAGCGAAUAAAGGAUAUUUUCUUAAACUAAAGUCAUUAAGAAAUUGUACAUUUCCAAUUUAUCGAAACUGCC